AAGGCAUUUCAUACUUGUGUUAGUGUGCACUAGUCUCAUCAAUUUUGCUCUGUUUCAUCAUUCUAGAUUAAUAAAAUUCAGCCUAACAUUUUUAUUUUAUUUUUUCCUAAGACCAUAAAAGGUACUUAUUAGUAGGAGAGAGAUGUUUAUUUAGAGAAAUGCCUGGAAAAGAGAUGCUAAGGAGUAAAUAACUCUGUUUUAACAGAAACUACCAGUUGAACCAUGUUGAACAUAGUGCUGCUCAAAUUUAUGCCACUAAAAGGACACCAAUGCCUACACUAAUGAAAAUGGAGGCAACAUGCCUCUUUUUGUUGUGUUCUAUAAAUAAACCUAAUAUAUCAAUACACAUAUUUAAUACAAAAAUAUUGAGAAAUUAUUCAACAUUUUUGUGUUGUGUGCCUCUGUAUUUAAAGCUGCCCAAAGAGAGAAAUACUAAUUUUGAUCAAUAAUUAAAUUGAUAAAAUAGCAACUUACUUCAAUCUAUUUAAUGAAAUGCUUUAUUUAAUAAGCUGUAUAACUGGCCGGCAGCUGUAUAAAUUUGGCCCGGCCGCUAUCCUGUCCACAUGCAGCCGUCAGCCCAGCACAGCCUCGGUGAUCACCGAAGGGAAGGGAACGAAGGGAAGGGAGGAAGCGGAGUGGGAGCCGCGCAGCAUGGGGCCAGGAGAUCACCGGCUUGGUGUUUACCUGAAGAGAAGGAGAAAAAAGAAAAGAAAACAACCCAAGGAAACACACAUAUCUGAUUUCUCCAGCAAUGUCAAGAAAGAUAAAGAAGUAAAAGCACAAUGCUAAAGACAUUAUGAUCUGUGUGAGACACAGGCUACCCUGAAUUCACAUGUUCAGAACUCAAUGAGUAUGAUGAGAUGUCUGCCAUGGAUCAGGAAUAGUCAUAACCCUGUGUGUGAUGAUGGGCGGAAACAUAUAUUUAUCUAAAUAAAUUUAGAGCUCUUUCCCUAUGGACA
rnacentral:lncRNA from 1 species